rnacentral:lncRNA from 1 species
UUCACGUUCGUCCUUUGCUAGGUUUAUCUUUUCACGUUAUAUAUAUUAAACCGUAUAUUUUUCAAGAAAAUAUAUGUUAUGUAUUGUAUAGUUGAUUUUGUACUUAUUCUGAAAUUCUAUGAAUUUUUUAAAAGAUUCAGACAAAGCAACCCAAGCACACACGCAAGCAACAAAAAAAAAAAAUUUCCGUUGGAAAACGGAGGAUAUGGCUUUUAGUUCUCUAAGGAAAGCAAGGGACCAUAUAUUUCUCAAGGGAAUUUAAAAGGUUGAUGGAUGAAAAAUA